AAUUCUAUUUCUAUAUAGAUGGAGUAGUCCUAUGAAAUAUCCAAGUGAAGAUGAUGUUUAUCUUAAGUUAGGAGACAGAAGCAGGAAUUAGCUACACAAACAAGGCAGGAAAGGGCCUUCUAGGUAGAAGAAAUAGGGCACAUAAAGGAAUGAAUUACGAGAUCACAGGGCACUGCCUGCCCAACUAAGGAGAGGCUUGUGUAGAGGUAAGAGAAGUAAAGUUAUCAGGCGUCAAGGCUCAAGUGUAACUCAUGGAAACCACUGAAGAAUUUCAAACAAAGAAGCAAUUUGAUCAGAUUGUGAUCUUCAAAAGCCAGUUUUGAGGGUGGGGAGGAGGAAAUGUGUAAAGACUGAAGGGCUAACGUCUAAUUUUCACAGGAUGAACAUCAAAAUCAACUUUUCAAAGGAAACAGCUCAGACGUCCCAGCACAGCACUUACAGGUGACGUACCGUGGGGUCAGCAUAAGUAAUCCCCAAUUAGUCCACUUGUGCAAAGACAGCUGUCCUCACAAGCUACCUACAGAGCAUCUUCCCCACUCACUCUUCAUAUAGCAAACAGCAGCCACACAGCAGCAGCUCAUUAGACUCCAUGCCCAGCACAGAGCCCAACACACGGCUUGAACUCAUGACCCUGAGAUCAAGACCUGAGCUGAGAUCAAGAGUCUGACACUUAACCAACGGAACCACCCAGACGCCCCUAAAAAUUAUUAUUUUUUUAAUUGAAUCUGCUCUCUACAUCAUGUCAUCAGGGAAGUGUAAAUUCAAACAAUAAUGAGAUAUCUACCAUCACAUACUGAUUAUAAUGGGCAAAACCCAGUACAAUGACAAUGCCAAAUGCUGACAAAGGUGUGGAGCAAUAGGGAGUCUUGUUCACUGCCGGUGCGAACACAAUAUGGUGCAGCCGCUUGGAAAGACAGCUUGGUGGUUUCUUACCAAAUGAAGGAUACUCUUCCCUCUUACCCACCUCCAUGGAAUUUUCCCAAAAGAGCUAAAAAUUUAUUUCCUCACGAAGACAUGGAUGUUUAUAACAGCUUUGGUCAUGAUUGUCAAAAUCUGGAAGCAACCAAGUUGUCCUUCAGUAGCUGAAUGAAUCAGUGAGCUGUGGUCCAUCCAGACAUGGAAUAUUAUUCAACGAUAAAAAUACAUGAGCUAUUAGAGCACGAAACGACAUGGGAGAAACUUAAAUGCAUAUUAUUAAGUGAAAGAAGUCAACCUGAAGUGGAUAAGUACUAUACGAUUUCAUCUCUAGGACAUUCUAGAAAAGGCAAAAACAUGGAGAGAGUAAAAAGACCAGUGGUUUCCAGGAGGUGGGGGCAUGACAAGGGGUGAAUGGAUAGAGCACAUAGAGUAUGAUACUAUAACGAUGAAUACAUGUCAUCUUUAUUUGUCCAAAUACAUACAAUACACAGUAAACACCAAGAGUGAAGCAUAAUAUAAACUAUGGACUGGGUGCUAGUGAUGUGUCAAUGUCACAUCAGCUAUAACAAAUGUACCCCCCUCUGGUGGGUACAUGUUGAUCGUGGGGGAGAUUAUGCAUAUUUGGGGGCAAGGGGAUAUAUGGGAAAUCUCUGUAUCUUUCUCCCCACUUUUGCUGUUAACCUACAACUGCUCUAAAAAAAAGUCUUAAUUUUAAAACAUUGAGUCUACCAUGUUUCAUGCUUAGCCAGUUAUCGAUAGUAGUAUUUUCCAAAAAUUCAGCUAAACAUGGUUUUCUUCUGAUUAUUUUGGCCAAUGAGUGGAAAAAUAUCCAGCAGUCACAUGAAAAUCAUACCUGCUGAUUUAUAAACAUUGAACUCAUCUUAAACAGAUGCAUUUA